ACUCAAAUGAAUUGACGGGGGCCCGCACAAGCGGUGGAGCAUGUGGUUUAAUUCGACGCAACGCGAAGAACCUUACCCAGGCUCGAACGGCAUUGGACAUCUCCCGAAAGGGAGCUUCCGCAAGGACCGGUGUCGAGGUGCUGCAUGGCUGUCGUCAGCUCGUGUCGUGAGAUGUUGGGUUAAGUCCCGCAACGAGCGCAACCCUUGUCUUCUGUUGCCAUCAGGUUAUGCUGGGCACUCUGAAGAGACUGCCGGUGACAAACCGGAGGAAGGUGGGGAUGACGUCAAGUCAGCAUGGCCGUUAUGUCUGGGGCCACACACGUGCUACAAUGGCAGAUACAAACCGUUGCGAGACCGCAAGGUGGAGCUAAUCGGAGAAAGUCUGUCUCAGUUCGGAUUGUAGGCUGCAACUCGCCUGCAUGAAGUUGGAAUCGCUAGUAAUCGCGGAUCAGCACGCCGCGGUGAAUACGUUCCCGGGCCUUGUACACACCGCCCGU
rnacentral:rRNA from 1 species